rnacentral:rRNA from 1 species
AUUGAACGCUGGCGGCAGGCUUAACACAUGCAAGUCGAGCGGGGAAGGGUAGCUUGCUACCUAACCUAGCGGCGGACGGGUGAGUAAUGCUCAGGAAUCUGCCAUUUAGUGGGGGACAACAUUCCGAAAGGAAUGCUAAUACCGCAUACGUCCUACGGGAGAAAGCAGGGGAUCUUCGGACCUUGCGCUAAAUGAUGAGCCUAAGUCGGAUUAGCUAGUUGGUGGGGUAAAGGCCUACCAAGGCGACGAUCUGUAGCGGGUCUGAGAGGAUGAUCCGCCACACUGGGACUGAGACACGGCCCAGACUCCUACGGGAGGCAGCAGUGGGGAAUAUUGGACAAUGGGCGGAAGCCUGAUCCAGCCAUGCCGCGUGUGUGAAGAAGGCCUUAUGGUUGUAAAGCACUUUAAGCGAGGAGGAGGCUACUUAGAUUAAUACUCUAGGAUAGUGGACGUUACUCGCAGAAUAAGCACCGGCUAACUCUGUGCCAGCCGCCGCAGUAA